GGGUGAGGCCUUAGAAAUCUGGAGGCAUACAGUUGGGCUUCCUAGGAAAUUGAAAAUUUUCCUUGCACAGAUAUUUUGGAACUGUAAACAAUGAAAAAAAAUGACCCAGAAAUUCCAUUUGCCUUUGAUGAUAUUUUACAGUUUGGCUUGGGAAAGUAUUUAACAUCUUUUCUUUGUGGUCUCCUGGAUAAGUCUACAAGUGUUUCGACACUUCGAGAAAUAAAUACAAAGCGAGGUGAUUCAGAUUCUCCGAAGAUUUGGGGAGCAUAGCUAAUGUCUUUCAAGUCAGCCAUUUGCCAACUGUUUCCCAGGGUGAUAGUUCAUGGAUUCCAAGUAUCCUUUCUUCCUGAUGUCUUUCGGGUGCCCAUUUUUCCCACCAUAAUUUGUUUCCUCAUUUUGUAAUAUUUUUAUUCCAAAUAUAUUGAGCAGCCUCACUAGCCUUUGUUAGCAGUGUGAUUUAAGUAUUACAUUAUGUCCCUCUGUAGUCCUUUUCUUACAAUUUUCUUAUUAUUAUCUACUUAAUUCUUACCAUUUGACUUCACCCCUUUUGUUCUGAAGUUGUUCCCACUGAAUCAGGCAUUAAAUAAAAAAAUAUUUUUGUCUAUAAAUAAGAGAACAAAUCCAGGUGGCUAUUACAUAUUUACUUCAUACAGGUCGCUCUUAGGAGCAAGUGAGGCUCCUGGUGUUAAAUAAUGAGCUGGUAUAUUGUGAGCACAUUUCUCCUGGAAUGACAGUAUCAGGGGCCCAGGGAAUCUGCCUGCCCCAUUGUUUAUCUGUGGUAACCUUCCUGAAGUCAUACUGCAAGAGGCAAGUUGUGUAGGAAGUUUUCUACAUGGGGGAUUUGCUUGUUGAUGUCUCCUUUCCUUACUGGGCCACUGCUCUGGUCCCAGGUGCCAGUAUUUACAGCUGAGAGGCUUCAAGGUGGAACUCAUUCGGAGUCCUCCAACAUAGCUUCAUUCCUUCCCCUGCUAUGUCUUCUCUGUCUUCUUUCCAAGCUGUAAGUAUCUAACCAUCGUACUUGUCUUUUUCAUCAUUUCCAACUCUUGACCUUAGUUUUAAAGAGGAAAGAAACUUAACUAGAUCUACUCUCUGUGAUAUAGGAAUUACUAGAAACCUUUACUUGAUAGGUGCAUAAGAUUCUCCCUUAGAAAUUCUGUCCUUAUAAGCUGUAGUUAAAUAAGUUGGACAUUAUAGGGAAAGGUACUUGACAACUCCAAAUCAGAAGGAAAGCCCUCUGUGGGUCUUCUGAUCAAGAAGGAGUCCUUUAAAAAAGUCUCUGACUGGAAGAAAAGAAGGAGAGAGCUCCAUUAGCCAUGUUUAGGGAGGACCCUAGAAAAACAGUACUUCGAGGGGCAGCAACAGUGUCCACAGAGCAAGCCAUUCGUGAUCAGCUUCAAAGAACCGUGGCAAGCCAGGUACAUCCUUCCUUCUUCAAACUCAUAAUAAAGAUAAUCCCUUCUAAAAACUGAACAUUAGAAAUAUAUCAUUUAGUGAAAGAACACAUAGCUUUUAGUGUGCAGAGAUUCUCAGGGUGUGUGUAGGAAAAGGAAUGACCUUGGAUAGGCUAAUGAGAUACAGCUUUGCUUUCUAGAUGAAGAUGCAGAAUGGGAGUGUUGUUAAUGGAACUUUUUCAGGCAAUCAUUUGGAGAUACCUGAACAGGCAGGAGCAAGAGGGCAUAAUUUAUCAAGACAGUUGUAUCAAGAAUGAAGAUCUGGACCAGGACAAUAGCUGUCUGCAAGAUCACUAGAGACCUUGAAGGAUGCAUCCAACAAGAGGAACCAGAUGCAGGAAAUAUUUCGACAGAAGGAAGAACCUUUUUCCUGGCUCCUCCUUUCUUCUAGGAUAGCCUAUCAGUCCUGCUACAGUACAUUGCCUUCAUGUGUGCAACAUAGAAAGCCUGAGGUGGGGUUGCCCAGACUGAGCUUGAACCCACCUUCUUCCAGCUCUGCCUCCUGGGAUUGCAGGCAUUUACCACCACGCCCAGCCCUUUCGUCUUUUUCAAUUUCUAAAAGCCAGGUUGUUGGUUUUUUUUUUUUCCUGGACCAUGAUGAUCCCUACACCUACAUAAUUCCUAAAAGUGGAGAAUUAGGGAAAAA